rnacentral:rRNA from 1 species
AAUACCCUAUUAUUUUAAAAGAAAUUUAGUUUACUUAAUUAGUAGUAGUUAAGGUCUUGAAAAUUAAAGAAUUUGGCGGUAUUUUAGUCUAUUCAGAGGAAUCUGUCCUAUAAUUGAUGAUCCACGAUUUUUAUUACCUAUUUUAUUAAUUUACAUAUCGCCGUAGUUUGAAUAUUUUUAAAAAAAAAUAAUAUUCAUAAUUUAUUUUUAUAAAAGAUAUCAGGUCAAGGUGUAGUUUAUGAAUAGGAAGAGAUGGAUUACAAUAAAAAUAUUUAUUAUGGAUUAAUUAAUGAAAAAUUUUUAUGAAAGUGGAUUUGAUAGUAAUUUUAUUUA